AGGAGGAACAACCACAGUGGCGGGGCCAGCUCUGGAGCCCUGGAUUCAGCCCCCGCAGUAACUCCGGAGCUCUCCGUCUGCAGGGCCUGGAGGCUCCGGGGCGGG
rnacentral:pre_miRNA from 1 species